rnacentral:rRNA from 1 species
GAUACGUAAUGUGAUUGCAGAAUUCAGUGAAUCAUCGAAUCUUUGAACGCACCUUGCGCCCCUUGGCAUUCCGAGGGGCACACCCGUUUGAGUGUCGU